GCGUCGAGGCGCGAGCAGCUCAGCCAGCCUUGCAGAGGGAGCUCUCGGCAGCUCUGGGGUCCCUCUGCUCGCAGCCGCAGCAGCGCCGCCUGCGCCACUCGGCGGAGACGGAGACCAGCGGCGGCGGCGCGCGGACUGGGAGCGACCGCGGAGCAGCCAAGCGGCGGGGGUACGCUCGCAGAGCGGCCGGGAUGCACCUGCGGAUUCUACCCACCCAGAGACGAAGUUCACCCAUCGCAGCCUGGAAGAUUUUCUGGUGACCCAGGGAGGAGCGCCUUUGGUACUUAAAGGAAUCUGACUCAAGACUGUAUUCUGAACUCCCAUACCUUAGAUAUCACGGAUAACAAUCGGAGCCAGCAUCAACGGGACAGUUUCUGCUCCAUUCAGCUGAUUGUUCCCAUUAUGAGGAUGCCAGCCCAAUAUUGACAGAUAUUCUGGGAGUUUUGUUGAAAAGGGGAAUCAGAAGUCUAGAUUUUUGUAAUAUAAAAUCUUCAGAUAUUUAGGUGGUAGCAACUUAAUCAGGUGUUUUUAAAUUGCAUGAACGGAUUAAACUAUAUAUAUGUGUGUGGGCUUUCACUUGGAGAAAAGAGUGAAGAGAAAUUCCAAGGCCAGAUCCUAGACAUUUCCGCAUUUGGAAAUGGGAUAAUGGAGAAGAAAACUGAAAGGGUUAGCCAGGAAGACAGAAAUCCACAAGCGUGUUGAAUUUGGAAUCCAAGGGCAGAGAACGUUUAGGUGGGGGGGAGUGGUCAGCCGUGUCUAGUGCUGCUGAGAGGUCAACUUGGGCCAGAGACCGGGCUAUUGGAUUGGUCACCUUGGAAUUCAAUAGAGACUAUCAUUGGCGAAUUUGGCUUGAUUCGUGGUGUAAAUCAAGAGAUUUUGACCUCAUUAGGAUGGGUUGAGAAUGAAUGGAAAAGUAAGGAAAUAGAGCAUAUGUAGGCAACAUGAGAAGUUUUGCUGUGAAGGGAGCAAACUUUAGGGAUAACUGUGGAAAGUUAACUUUAGGGAUAAUUUUAGGGAUAACUGUGGAAAGAAGUUUUGCUGUGAAGGGAGCAAAACUUUAGGGAUAACUGGAAAGAUCCGGGGUCAAGGGAGGAGAUGUUUUAAAACAUGGCAGGAUUCUGGAGCAUGUUUAUGUGCCAUUGGGUGUGAUACAGGAGAGAGAAGGCUUGCUUGACCUAUAUAGGAGUGAAAUCCAUGACAGGAUAUAAGGAAACUGGGAGGACUGACCUUAGAUAGGAACAGGAUGCUUCCACUCUGAUAAUUAAGGUAAUAAAGGUGAAGAUCAGUGCAAAUGCUGGUGAGGGUGGGAGGAGCAAGCUUACAACUUUCCUAGUAGGACUGCCUACAUUGGGUAUGUAGCACUGGCAAUAUUGGGUAUCCAUUUGAAGUUUGUAAUCAUGAAUUUAAAGUUAAACCAGUUCGGCAAUAUGUGUUUUUUUUCCAGCAGUAUUCAGCUGCUUGGGUACAGACAUGCAGAAAAGAGAUAAUUUGGUUUCUUAACACCAGGGCCCAAGUUUUCUGAUUCCUGAUCUCAGGUACUUGCCUUAUUAAUCACUUAAUAUUCUAGAAACGUGUGACUAUUUGGAAAAUUUACCUGUGAUCCCUUUUUCUAGAAACCAAAUUAUCCCAUUUGUCUCUUAUGUAUACCAGAGGGCUCAAAAGUAAAGAAAAGGCAAACUUAGGGGAAAUUACUCUGGAAUAUUUGCAUCUUGCAAUUUCUUUAGUGCUCCACCCCAGAGACCUCCUGGUGUACCUAGGAACUGUGUACUAGGAACAAGGCUGACUUGCGCUUAAAUUCUUAGCUUCUUUUUCUUUCUGACAUCUUUAAUAAUCUGAUUAAUAAACUUACUAUAAGACUUUACUUCAGACCAUCUUCCUUAUCUUUAAGAGUAAGCUAUAAGAAUGUUUUCUAAAGCUUUAAUAUAGGCAAAUAUAAGUCAGUGUACUUAGAUGGAAAAAACUUAAACUAUAUUUACAAUGAUAUUUACAGCUGCCAUGGCCUGAAUAUUUGUGUCCCUCUCAAAAUUCAUAUUUGAAAUCCUAAUGCUCAAUGUGAUAUUAGUAGGUGGGGCCUUUAGGAGGUACCUAAGUGAUGAGGGUGGAACCCUCACAAAUUGGAUAAGUGCCUUAUAAAAGAGGCUGCAUGGAGAUCCCUGGUCCCUUCCACCAUGUUAAGGACACAGCCAGAAGGCAACGGCUAUGAACCAAGAAGAGGGCCUUCAUCAGAAUGCAGCCAUGUUGGUACCUUGAUCUUGGACUACCCAGCCUCCAGAACUGUGAGCAAUAAAUCUGUUUAUAAGUCACCCAGUCAGCGGUUAUUUUGUUAUAACAGCCUAAGACAACUAUAUUUAUAGUAAUUAUAUCAAGGGCACCUGGUUGGCUCAGUCAGUAGCACAUGCAACUCUCUAUCUCAGGGUUCUAAGCUAGAGCCCCACAUUGGGUGUAGAGAUUACUU